rnacentral:rRNA from 1 species
GGCGAUCAGAUACCGCCCUAGUUCUGACCGUAAACGAUGCCAACUAGCGAUCCGCCAGUCGACUCAUCGCUCUGGUGGGGAGCUUCCCGGAAACGAAAGUCUUCCGGUUCCGGGGGAAGUAUGGUUGCAAAGCUGAAACUUAAAGGAAUUGACGGAAGGGCACCACCAGGAGUGGAGCCUGCGGCUUAAUUUGACUCAACACGGGGAAACUCACCCGGCCCGGACACCGUAAGGAUUGACAGAUUGAUAGCUUUUUCAUGAUUCGGUGGAUGGUGGUGCAUGGCCGUUCUUAGUUCGUGGAGCGAUUUGUCUGGUUUAUUCCGAUAACGAGCGAGACUCUGGCCUACUAAAUAGUUGACGCAUUGCCACUGUGCGCACAACUUCUUAGAGGGAUUUUCGGUGUUUUCAACCGCACGAAAUUGAGCAAUAACAGGUUUGUGAUGCCCUUAGAUGUCCGGGGCUGCACGCGCGCUACACUGGCAAACGCAACGUGCCUGUCCUGCCCCGAAAGGAGCGGGUAAACCCCUGAAAUUUUGCCGUGAUUGGGAUCGGACAUUGCAACUAUUGUCCGUGAACGAGGAAUUCCUUGUAGGGGCGAGUCAUCAACUCGUCCCGAAUACGUCCCUGCCCUUUGUA